rnacentral:lncRNA from 1 species
AUGAUGGGCCUGUAUCUCAGUUCUAGCUCCAAACACAGGAAGAUGAGAUCUGAGGACCUGCUUGAUGCUGACUGGGCACAUUUGAGGAUAAGUCCUGAGCUGAAGAAGCCAAGCACUUGUAAAAGCUGCAAUGUAUUUGCCAAGUCUAAUAUUUUCAAAUUGAAGGGAGGCUUCUGUCAGGAGAACAAUGGGCCAGAAGGAUCCCAAAGAGUUUGGGAUCCUCUGCUUCCAGGACAGCAGCUGUCCCAGAGCCUCUUGUACAAGCAAAUAUUCAAAAUGAAAAUAAUAAAAUUCAUUGUUACAGGUAGGCCUGUACAUGUUGUACCUGAUACAUCAUUUCUUUAGUAUUGUAGAACAUUUCCAGAUGUGAAUUGUCUAAGCAGAUAUCUCCA